GAGAGAGGAAGCCAGAGGACGGGGAGGCCGGCUUUCCUUUCCAGGAUGCCUAGGAAGAACCAAUCUAUACCUGGGAGACGACACAUCGCCUUCCCACGGUACACGGGGACUAAAAUUUCAUCCCAGAAACUUGUGGGGGGCAGAUCCCUUCCAAAGCACAGUCUAUAGGACAACCCCCUGUACCUUCUGCAGCCUGGGACACCACUGGGCUAUGUUUGAACCUGACUUUGGAUAUACUAAAACAUGUGGCAAUAUGUUAAAUACAGGAAAUACCUGUUCAUGUAUGGUGAUCUCCAGCAGGAAGCAAACGACAACACCGCACUGAAGCAGCAUACGUGACCGACGGAGCUAUCGUGUACCAGCUCCUUCCUUAUUUCUGAUCACCCUGUACUCAAUUAGCCCGGCUUCUCACCAAGACUGGUCCCUAGACUGUGGGGACACCAGGCUGGAAGCCAGGAAUGGCCCUCAAGCCUACCAGAGUGUCCAAGCUGCUUUACUAAUACCUUUGAACCUUCUGAAGACUGGACCAGAGUUGAAAUUUGUUAGAAAAUAGAAAAACAGCGUUGGCACAACACUACCAGUCAUCAUGUACAUCCCUGAAUAACGAAUAUUCAUAUCUAGGUCAUGCCUCCUGAUGUGUAACUGAAGAUAAUAACUGUAUGAAUGAACAAUUUAAAGUUCCGGGGGAACAAUGUGCUACUCUGGACGAUUCCACCAGCACCACCCCCUCUUUCAGCUCAGCGUCACAGCUAUCCAGAGGUGAAGGGUGGGCACACAUCGAACUUUGAGAAAUGCACAUAAUAUGAAUCUCAAGGAAAGAGAAAAGCCACGAAAUCUAUACUAGGCGGAAUCCCUGUGUUAAGAUUCACAAAUAAAAGCCUUUUAGAGUCUGUGG
rnacentral:lncRNA from 1 species